rnacentral:rRNA from 1 species
AGUUUAAUAAUUAUGGAACAAUCAACCAUUAUAAAAUGGCGGUCUAUAUUUUUUAAAGAAACUCGCCUUUUAAUCGUAAACACCCGUUAUCAUCCAACUUUAUUUAUUAGUCUAUAUACCGCCGUAUAAGAACUAAAAUAAAUAUAAUUCUAAACUUUAUAAAAACCAAAAUCAGGUCAAGGUGUAACUUAUAAUAAAGACUAGGUAAGUUACAUUAAAUAUAAUUUAAGGAAAGACUUAAAACAUUAAAAUCAUAGAAAAAGAAUUUAUAUGUACAAUCUAGUAAAAUCUAGAAUAGAAAUAAUUUAUAUAGAUGC